rnacentral:rRNA from 1 species
CAAUAGCGUAUAUUUAAGUUGUUGCAGUUAAAAAGCUCGUAGUUGGAUUUCGGUUGAGAACGACCGGUCCGCCGUUUGGUGUGCACUGGCUGGUUUCAACUUCCUGUAGAGGACGCGCUCUGGCUUCACGGCUGGACGCGGAGUCUACGUGGUUACUUUGAAAAAAUUAGAGUGUUCAAAGCGGGCUUACGCUUGAAUAUUUCAGCAUGGAAUAACACUAUAGGACUCCUGUCCUAUUUCGUUGGUCUCGGGACGGGAGUAAUGAUUAAGAGGAACAGUUGGGGGCAUUCGUAUUUCAUUGUCAGAGGUGAAAUUCUUGGAUUUAUGAAAGACGAACUUCUGCGAAAGCAUUUGCCAAGGAUGUUUUCAUUAA